rnacentral:lncRNA from 1 species
ACACGAUUUUGGGCCAACCUAUUAGUGACUUUUUAUUUCUAGUUAUAAACUUUCAUGGAGGCAACAGUUCACCAGCACCACCAGCACCACCACCACCAUCAUCAUCACCAUCAUCAUCAUCAUCAUCAGAAGAAGAAGAAGCAGAAGCAGCAACUGCAAAGCCAGUGAUUUUCACUUUAAUGCAGAUGAAUCAAUUAGGAAGUGUGAGAUUGUCUUUUGAUUCCAGAGACUCACUGGAAAAAAGAAUACUGAGGAGUGAUAAGCAAAAUACAAAGGAAAAAAAGUGAUGAGAGAAGAAAAUGGAAAAUGAUAUUUAUCAAGCAAGUAAUAGAAGUGCUCAAUGUGAACUGAGGCGGG